UGAGUUCGAUCAUGGCUCAGAUUGAACGCUGGCGGGAUGCUUUACACAUGCAAGUCGAACGGCAGCACGGACUUCGGUCUGGUGGCGAGUGGCGAACGGGUGAGUAAUGUAUCGGAACGUGCCUAGUAGUGGGGAUAACUACGCGAAAGCGUAGCUAAUACCGUGUAUGCCCUUCGGGGGAAAGUGGGGGACUCCCGGGCCUCGCACUAUUAGAGCGGCCGAUAUCGGAUUAGCUAGUUGGUGGGGUAACGGCUCACCAAGGCGACGAUCCGUAGCUGGUUUGAGGACGACCAGCCACUGGGACUGGACACGCCCAGACUCCUACGGGAGGCAGCAGUGGGGAAUUUUGGACAAUGGGGAAACCGGAUCCAGCCAUCCCGCGUGUGCGAUGAAGGCUUUCGGGUUGUAAAGCACUUUGGCAGGAAGAAACGGCACGGGAUAAUACCCCGUGCAACUGACGGUACCUGCAGAAUAAGCACCGGCUAACGCCGUGCCAGCAGCCGCGGUAAUUACAUGUAGUGCAAGCGUUAAUCGGAACGCGAUUGGGCGUAAAGCGUGUGCAGGCGGUUCGGAAAGAAAGAUGUGAAAUCCCAGAGCUUAACUUUGGAACUGCAUUUUUAACUACCGAGCUAGAGUGUGUCAGAGUGGAGGUGAAUUCCGCGCAGGUGAAGUGCGUAGAUAUGCGGAGGAACACCGAUGGCGAAGGCAGCCCUGGGAUAACACUGACGCUCAUGCACGAAAGCGUGGGGAGCAAACAGGAUUAGAUACCCUGGUAGUCCACGCCCUAAACGAUGUCAACUAGCUGUUGGGGCCUUCGGGCCUUGGUAGCGCAGCUAACGCGCGAAGUUGACCGCCUGGGAGUACGGUCGCAAGAUUAAAACUCAAAGGAAUUGACGGGGACCCGCACAAGCGGUGGAUGAUGUGGAUUAAUUCGAUGCAACGCGAAAAACCUUACCUACCCUUGACAUACCGGAAUCCCGAAGAGAUUUGGGAGUGCUCGCAAGAGAACCGGAACACAGGUGCUGCAUGGCUGUCGUCAGCUCGUGUCGUGAGAUGUUGCUUGAAGUCCCGCAACGAGCGCAACCCUUUGUCAUUACGUUGCUACGAAAGGGCACUCAGACGAGACUGCCGGUGACAAACCGGAGGAAGGUGGGGAUGAUGUCAAGUCCUCAUGGCCCUUAUGGUAGGGCUUCACACGUCAUACAAUGGUCGGGACAGAGGGUCGCUAACCCGCGAGGGGGAGCCAAUGCAGAAACCCGAUCGUAGUCCGGAUCGCAGUCUGCAACCGUCUGCGUGAAGUCGGAAUCACUAGUAAUCGCGGAUCAGCAUGUCGCGGUGAAUACGUUCCCGGGUCUUGUACACACCGCCCGUCACACCAUGGGAGUGGGUUUUACCAGAAGAAGUUAGCCCUAACCUGGUAAGGAGGGCGAUUACCACGGUAGGAUUCAUGACUGGGGUGAAGUCGUAACAAGGUAG
rnacentral:rRNA from 1 species